GACGAACGCUGGCGGCGUGCCUAAUACAUGCAAGUAGAACGCACAGUUUAUACCGUAGCUUGCUACACCAUAGACGGUGAGUUGCGAACGGGUGAGUAACGCGUAGGUAACCUGCCUGGUAGCGGGGGAUAACUAUUGGAAACGAUAGCUAAUACCGCAUAAUAUUGAUUAUUGCAUGAUAAUUGAUGGAAAGAUGCUAUUGCAUCACUACCAGAUGGACCUGCGUUGUAUUAGCUAGUAGGUGAGGUAACGGCUCACCUAGGCGACGAUACAUAGCCGACCUGAGAGGGUGCUCGGCCACACUGGGACUGAGACACGGCCCAGACUCCUACGGGAGGCAGCAGUAGGGAAUCUUCGGCAAUGGACGAAAGUCUGACCGAGCAACGCCGCGUGAGUGAAGAAGGUUUUCGGAUCGUAAAGCUCUGUUGUAAGAGAAGAACGGGUGUGAGAGUGGAAAGUUCACACUGUGACGGUAGCUUACCAGAAAGGGACGGCUAACUACGUG
rnacentral:rRNA from 1 species